AUGGAAGGUCCCGGCAUGCCUGAAGCGGACGACCGAUUCUCUUGCACAAUGGAAGAACUUUUCGGUGAUGCUGCAGAGGAAAUCGUGGGGACUUCCAAUGCCGCAGCCGAUCAUCACGCUCCAUUUGAAGCAGAGUGUCAGGCCGAAGAGGCGCUCGACAUGAAGAUGCUUUUCGCUAUGAUGGAUGAAGCAGCAGCAGAGCAGGAGCGCCAGGCCGUCUCGACGAACGACAAGUCUUCCAUGGUCCAAGACAAGCCCAUCUUCCUCCAUCCAUCUGAAGCACAGUGGCAGGCGGACAAUGCCGCAGCCGAUCUUGACGCUCCAUCGCUUCAUGGACACGACCACUUGUUCAACCCGCGGCCGAGCUUCUCCGAUCCAUUUGAAGCAGCGUGGCGGGCCGAAGAGGCGCUCCAGAACGACAAUGCUGCGGCCAAUCUUCAGGCUGGACCGCUUGGGGGACACAACGACUUCUUCUGGUCUUCAACUGUAUAUUGA
rnacentral:rRNA from 1 species